UGCGGGGUGGAGCAGUUUGGUAGCUCGUUGGGCUCAUAACCCAAAGGUC
rnacentral:tRNA from 1 species